rnacentral:rRNA from 1 species
AGUGAACGCUGGCGGCAGGCCUAAUACAUGCAAGUCGAACGGCAGCACAGCAGAGCUUGCCCUGUGGUGGCGAGUGGCGGACGGGUGAGGAAUACGUGGGAAUCUGCCCAGUCGUGGGGGAUAACGUAGGGAAACUUACGCUAAAUACCGCAUGCGCCCUUGGGGAAAAGCCGGGGACCUUCGGGCCUGGCGCGAUUGGAUGAGCCCAGUCGGAUUAGCUAGUUGGCGGGUAAAGGCCCACCAAGGCGACGAUCCGUAGCUGGUCUGAGAGGAUGAUCAGCCACACUGGAACUGAGACACGGUCCAGACUCCUACGGGA